AGUGAUCCUACGGGAGGCAGCAGUGAGGAAUAUUGGUCAAUGGGCGCGAGCCUGAACCAGCCAUGCCGCGUGUAGGAUGAAGGCCUUCGGGUCGUAAAGUUCUGUCCUUGGGGACGAUAAUGACGGUACCCUAGGAGGAAGCCCCGGCUAACUACGUG
rnacentral:rRNA from 1 species